rnacentral:rRNA from 1 species
UGGAUAAGAGCUGAAAGCAUCUAAGCUCGAAGCCUCUCCCGAAAAGAGGCAGCCAUUCCAGUUUCACUGGACGAAGGCACCCAUAAAAGAUGGGUUUGAUGGAGCCGGGGUGUAAAUCAGAAGACUUCGGUCGACUGGUUCAGCCCGCGGCCACCAAUCGCCUGAGAUGUCGAGUCA